rnacentral:lncRNA from 1 species
CAUACUCUCCUAAGGAGAAAGAAUUUGAAGGAAAAAAAAAGGAGAAAGGCUGGAGACUCAGCAAAGACAUUUUCAUGGAGUGAAAAUUCUCAAGUUAUCAACGAAGAGACCAACUUCAAAAAUAGGUUGUCUUUUAUCCUUUUGAUGGUGUCCUUUGCUGUGAAGUUCGACGCAAUCCCAGGAUUUUCCUCGUAAAGCAACAGAGAAUGAAACAGUGGAGGAAGCAAAUCCUUGGCUAGGAGAAGAUCACUGCCAGGGUAGUGGACAAGCUUUAGUAAUAGAAUAAAUGCCACCAAAGAGAAGCUUGGCUUCUCUUU